GAUGAACGCUGGCGGCGUGCCUAAAACAUGCAAGUCGAGCGGUAAGGCUCUGCACUUAGUGUUUGAUCGUGUUGAUCUUUGGAUCAAUGCAGCAGACCGAUUUGAACCUUGGCGGGGGAGAUGAGGAAUGGGAAGAUCGAAUAACAAGUGUAGAGUACACGAGCGGCGGACGGGUGAGUAACAUGUGGGAACCUACCCCAGAUUGAGGGAUAAGCACCGGAAACGGUGUCUAAUAACCGCAUAUGGUCUUCGGAUUAAAGACUUCGGCGAUCUGGGAAGGGCCCGCGCAAGAUUAGCUAGUUGGUGAGGGUAAAAGGCUCACCAAGGCGACGAUCUUUAGCUGGUUUGAGAGGAUGAUCAGCCACACUGGAAC
rnacentral:rRNA from 1 species